GGCGAUAUAGCUCAGCUGGAUAGAGCGAGGGAUUCAUAAACCCUAGGUCCCCGGUUCGAGUCCGGGUAUCGCCA
rnacentral:tRNA from 1 species